rnacentral:rRNA from 1 species
AAGCGUUACUCGGAUUCACUGGGCGUAAAGGGCGCGCAGGCGGAAUCGUGUGUCGGAUGUGAAACCCGGGGGCUCAACUCCCGGACUGCGUCUGAAACUGCGAUUCUAGGGACUCGGAGGGGCUAGUGGAAUUCUUGGUGGAGCAGUGAAAUGCGUAGAUAUCAUUUGGAACGCCAAUGGUGAAAACAGGUAGCUGGGGCUGUGCUGACACUGAGACACGAAAGCCAGGGGAGCAAACGGG